AGUGAACGCUGGCGGUAGGCCUAACACAUGCAAGUCGAACGGCAGCACAGUAAGAGCUUGCUCUUACGGGUGGCGAGUGGCGGACGGGUGAGGAGUACAUCGGAAUCUACUUUUUCGUGGGGGAUAACGUAGGGAAACUUACGCUAAUACCGCAUACGACCUACGGGUGAAAGCAGGGGAUCUUCGGACCUUGCGCGAUUGAAUGAGCCGAUGUCGGAUUAGCUAGUUGGCGGGGUAAAGGCCCACCAAGGCGACGAUCCGUAGCUGGUCUGAGAGGAUGAUCAGCCACACUGGAACUGAGACACGGUCCAGACUCCUACGGGAGGCAGCAGUGGGGAAUAUUGGACAAUGGGCGCAAGCCUGAUCCAGCCUUACCGCGUGGGUGAAGAAGGCCUUCGGGUUGUAAAGCCCUUUUGUUGGGAAAGAAAAGCAGCAGGUUAAUACCCCGCUGUUCUGACGGUACCCAAAGAAUAAGCACCGGCUAACUUCGUG
rnacentral:rRNA from 1 species